GUAUAGGUCAGUGGUAGAGUGAAUGCCUAGCAUGCAUGAGGUCCUGGGUUCAAUCCCCAGUAC
rnacentral:tRNA from 1 species